GAUGAAGAACGCAGCGAAACGCGAUAUUUCUUGUGAAUUGCAGAAGUGAAUCAUCAGUUUUUGAACGCACAUUGCACUUUGGGGUAUCCCCCAAAGUAUACUUGUUUGAGCGUUGUUUCUCUCUUGGAAUUGCUUUGCUCUUCUAAAAUUUCGAAUCAAAUUCGUUUGAAAAACAACACUAUUCAACCUCAGAUCAAGUAGGAUUACCGCUGAACUUAAGCAUAUCAAUAAGCGGAGGA
rnacentral:misc_RNA from 1 species